rnacentral:rRNA from 1 species
AUUGAACGCUGGCGGCAGGCCUAACACAUGCAAGUCGAACGAGUGGCGGACGGGUGAGUAAUGUCUGGGAAACUGCCCGCUGGAGGGGGAUAACUACUGGAAACGGUAGCUAAUACCGCAUACCAUCGGAUGUGCCCAGAUGGCUUUAGCUUGUGGGUGCGGUAACGGCUCACCUAGGCGACGAUCCCUAGCUGGUCUGAGGGGAUGACCAGCCAAACUGGAACUGAGACACGGUCAGGAUUCCUACGGGAGGAAGCAGUGGGGAAUAUUGCACAAUGGGCGCAAGCCUGAUGCAGCCAUGCCGCGUGUAUGAAGAAGGCUUUCGGGUUGUAAAGUACGUUCAGCGGGGAGGCGUUACCCGCAGAAAAAGCAACGGCUAACUCCGUGCCAGCAGCCGCGGUAAUUC